AUGUACCUGCUUAGGACCUGCAUUGAGUACAUCUUUCUGUUGGAAUACAAGUGGAACUUGAGUUGCCAUUUCGUCUCGUGGGUUGGUGAUGUACAUCUUUCUGUCAAUCACGCUGGAGUGGAAGUAUUGCCCUCAACUGAUGCAACGCUUUCUGGGCGAGAGAAUGAUUGGAUGUUGCCCCCAACUCAAGUGACUCUUCUAUCUCUGUACAGGGGAGCAAAUCAUGAGAUGUUUUAUUUUGCUAUUUUGCGACAAAAUCAUAUGGUGCCGCAGACAAAUAAGACCCGUCUACUAGCAACUUGA
rnacentral:rRNA from 1 species